GCCAGUGAAGACGCUGGCUACCUGCGGUGGGACAGAAAGACCCCGUGGAGCUUUACUGCAGCCUGGCAUUGGACUCUGGUGUUCUAUGUACAGGAUAGGUGGGAGGCUGAGAAGCCUGGGCGCCAGCUUGGGUGGAGCCGCCGGUGGGAUACCACCCUUAGGACAUUGGGGUUCUAACCUUGGGCCGUUGAGCCGGUCUGGGGACAGUGUCAGGUGGGCAGUUUGACUGGGGCGGUCGCCUCCUAAAAGGUAACG
rnacentral:rRNA from 1 species